rnacentral:rRNA from 1 species
UACGAAGGUGGCAAGCGUUGUUCGGAAUUACUGGGCGUAAAGGGCGCGUAGGCGGCCUUCUAAGUCAGACGUGAAAUCCCCAGGCUUAACUUGGGAACUGCGUCUGAUACUGGAGGGCUUGAGUGCGGGAGAGGGAUGUGGAAUUCCAGGUGUAGCGGUGAAAUGCGUAGAGAUCGGGAGGAAGGCCGGUGGCGAAGGCGGCGCUCUGGAACGUAUCUGACGCUGAGACACGAAAGCGUGGGGAGCAAACAGG